CCUAUCAUGCAGUCGAACGAGCUUCCGUUGAAUGACGUGCUUGCACUGAUUUCAACAAUGAAGCGAGUGGCGAACUGGUGAGUAACACGUGGGAAAUCUGCCCAGAAGCAGGGGAUAACACUUGGAAACAGGUGCUAAUACCGUAUAACAACAAAAUCCGCAUGGAUUUUGUUUGAAAGGUGGCUUCGGCUAUCACUUCUGGAUGAUCCCGCGGCGUAUUAGUUAGUUGGUGAGGUAAAGGCCCACCAAGACGAUGAUACGUAGCCGACCUGAGAGGGUAAUCGGCCACAUUGGGACUGAGACACGGCCCAAACUCCUACGGGAGGGCAGCAGUAA
rnacentral:rRNA from 2 species